UACGUAGGGUGCGAGCGUUGUCCGGAAUUAUUGGGCGUAAAGGGCUCGUAGGCGGUUUGUCGCGUCGGGAGUGAAAUCCACUGGCUUAACUGGUGGCUUGCUUUCGAUACGGGCAGACUGGAGGUAUGCAGGGGAGAACGGAAUUCCUGGUGUAGCGGUGAAAUGCGCAGAUAUCAGGAGGAACACCGGUGGCGAAGGCGGUUCUCUGGGCAUGUCCUGACGCUCAUGCACGAAAGCGUGGGGAGCAA
rnacentral:rRNA from 1 species